UGGCAGGUAAGGAAGGACCCAGAUCUCUGAGGCUCAUUUCUCUUCCACUCAGGUGUGAUUCAAUUAAAAGGCGCCAGGUGGGGAGAGAGGAAGAGGUGCAGGGAAGGAAGGCAAGAAGGAAAGGGCGAGCACGACGCUACACUCUCCACUACCUCGACCACCACCGAGUGUCAACAAUGGCUAGUUACAAUGGGACUAAGAAGCUGGAGCCGCAGAGGACCAUGGGGGACCACAGGGGAACAUAGGUGGCCGCUUUCUCUGGUCUGCUAUAGAGAGAGAGAGAGAGAGAGAGAGAGAGAGCACACACCCCAUGCCCUUCCUCCUCACAAGGCAACACUCCCCACCACAAAAAAGCGGCAAAUGUAACCAUCGCCUUUCUUAAUAAUAAUAACAAUACCCGCUUCA